rnacentral:sRNA from 1 species
UCCUAAAACCAGUGAAAGAGGGCCUUCC